rnacentral:rRNA from 1 species
UACGUAGGGUGCAAGCGUUGUCCGGAAUUAUUGGGCGUAAAGAGCUCGUAGGCGGUUUGUCGCGUCUGCUGUGAAAAUCCAGGGCCUAACCCUGGACCUGCAGUGGGUACGGGCAGACUGGAGUGCGGUAGGGGAGAUCGGAAUUCCUGGUGUAGCGGUGAAAUGCGCAGAUAUCAGGAGGAACACCGGUGGCGAAGGCGGGUCUCUGGGCCGUAACUGACGCUGAGGAGCGAAAGCGUGGGGAGCGAACAGGG